rnacentral:rRNA from 1 species
GAUGAACGCUGGCGGCGUGCCUAAUACAUGCAAGUCGAGCGAACAGAUCAGGAGCUUGCUCCUUCGACGUUAGAGGCGGACGGGUGAGUAACACGUGGUCAACCUAUCUAUAAGAAUGGUAUAACUCCGGGAAACCGGGGCUAAUGCCGGAUAACAUGUUGAACUGCAUGGUUCUACAGUGAAAGGCGGCUUUGCUGUCACUUAUAGAUGGACCCGCGCCGUAUUCGCUAGUUGGUGAGGUAACGGCUCACCAAGUCAACGGUGGGUAGCAGACCUGAAAGGGAGAUCCACUACACGGGAAGUGAGGAAGAUUCGAGACUCCGGCAGGGGGCAGCGGUAGGGAAUCUUCCGCGAGGGAGGAGUGGCUAACGGAGCGACGCCGCGGGAAGGAUGAAGGUGUUAGGAUGGGAGAACGCUGUUAGUAUGAGAGUACAAAUGCUUUUGUAACGGUGCGCGUAUUGACGGUACCUGGUCAGAAAGCCACGGCUAACUACGUG